rnacentral:rRNA from 1 species
GACGAACGCUGGCGGCGUGCUUAACACAUGCAAGUCGAACGGAAAGGCCCUGCUCUUGUGGGGUUCUCGAGUGGCGAACGGGUGAGUAACACGUGUGUAACCUGCCCUUGUCUUAGGGAUAAAUUCAGGAAACUGGGGCUAAUACCGGAUAGGAGCUCCUGCUGCAUGGUGGGGGUUGGAAAGUUUCGGCGGUUGGGGAUGGAUUCGCUGCUUAUCAGCUUGUUGGGGGGGUAGUGGAUUACAAAGGCUUUGACGGGUAGCCGGCCUGGGAGGGUGACCGGCCACAUUGGGACUGCGAUAGGGCCCAGACUGCUACGGGAGGCAGUAGUGGGGAACAUUGCACAACGGGCCGAAGCCAGAUGCAGCAGCGCCGCGUGCGUGAUGACCGCCUUCGGGUUGUAAACCGAUUUCGCCGGUGACGAAGCGUGAGUGACGGUAAUGGGUAAAGAAGCACCGGCUAACUACGUG